CGCUGAUAAGACCUUAUUCUAAUCACACGUCACCUGGCAUCGAUAUAGUCGUGCGCGGACUUUUUACGCGAUUUCUCACGCUCCAUCUGACGCAAUUCCUUCGGUCCUUCGGUCCUUCGGUCUUUCGGUCCUUCGAUCAACGACGUAUUCGCACGCAUUUUGUCCUGACUGGUCUCGUCUCUCUUUCACUCUCUGUCUCUCUUUCUUCCUUCCUCUUUGCCUCGUCCGUUUCGCGUGUAUGAAACUGACGCAGCUGGUGGCACCUUGAUGCAGCGGAUCGCGCGACCCGAUCCAGGAAUUUUCCCGGAUCUCUGGAUCGGUCGAUCGAACACGUCAGCUCGCCCCUAACUCUCUCUUUGCUGCAUCGAACGCAUACGUAAUUACCUUCGCUCGCGCGAUUAUAUCCGCGCGAUCCCUCGAUAGUCACGUACGAUUCGUUCGUAUCACGCUGGAUACGUGCUCGCUGCUCAGCCACGGGAUGUACCGAAGUAACUUAGCCACAUCCCGUGCUCCGAUAUACGAUUCGAUGCCGGCAAAGAUACCGCAAAAGAAUCGUGAUUCGUCGAUUUCCCUACCGAUUUGCUUCUCGUGUUGGCAGCUUGGAACCGCGGCAACUGGCUUCCGCGGCGAUGGAUCGGCAAUCGAUUCCGUUCCUUGUAUCGUUUAGUCCGCUUCCGACGUUCGGCUACUAACGUUGCUGGCGCUCGGUCGCGCGCGUAUGCUACCAAUCGGCCACGUGUUUACUCUUACUCGUGCCACAAACAACGUUCGAUCGUGGAUAAAACGUAGAGUGUGUUUCUAACGAUUCGCUUGUUGCCAUUGCGCGUAAAUGUGACACUGUUAGACGUCACUGAGGAAGGCUGUUGCACUGGAUCUGCCGAAGGUCGAAUAUCGACACCGGACGCGGACAGGAGAAAUUAGGUGAACCGCUCGAGACAGACUUUUCGUUUUUCUCGCCGUGCUCGCGUACAGAUCGUGUAAGUUCACGCGUACAGAGAAAAAGAACUUGGUCCGCAGUCCGCAACAAGAAUUCCGAUGUUACGUAACGGAGAAAUAGAAUGAACGAGCGUUCAACGGGUGACGCUCUUUUUGUGAACUCGAUAAACACCACGUGUCGGAUCGUCGACAUCGAGGAACAGAUUUUGUGUGAAGUUUAUGAUUAAGUUCGACCAGAGAGUACGAGUUCCUCGAAUAGGAAAGGCCAGAGAAUCGUUUAGUGAAAGCGAGAGCGGCGCUAAGUGUUUGUGAAAUCGUGAAACUGCGACACCACGUGUGUGACAUCUAUUACUUGACUUAUGAUAGGUGGAUCGUAAAAUCUACCGUUUCCUUUCUGUUAUGACCAGAACGACAAGAUUUCUCGACACACUAGUGCGAUUUUUAUAGAAAAUCUUGUGAUAUUAGCCGAUAUAGGCAGGCCAUCACGUUUCCUCUUCGAUGCAAUUUGUUGGAUUAAUGGCAAAUUGCACGUUCUAUAUGAAAUUGACAUCGGCAGGGAAUGUUAACACGAUGUAAGAAGAAGAGGAAGAAGAAGCAGGCAUUCAGGAAAAUUUAUUUCAAUGCGGAACACACGAACCAGUACUGCUUGUACGCACGGCUGACCUCGAUAGGGCUUUCGCUCGUGUCUAAGGAAGAAUGAAAAGGAAACGAAGGAGCCGAAGAAAACGAGAACUGGUGCGUGCCGUAGCUGAUCCUGCAAGAGUCGCGCGUUUGCGAAGCGCGGCGUGAAAAAAGCUGAGAAAGAAGGAGGAGACCGAGUUUCCGUUAGCGAGACGAGGAGGGAAACUGAGAUCGAAUCGAAGGGAAAGAGACGGGACAAGGGUGGAAGAGACGUCGGAAGAAAGCGCGGUGGAAGGCAGAAGAAGGCAAAGGAAGACUGUGUAAAAUAUAAGGUUUGCAGGUGUUCGCGUGCGUCCUUCGUGGCCUUGUUAACGGGCUUCCUCUUUCUCUAGCCCGCCCCGGAUAGGCUUUUAUCGUUCCUCUGCCGGCGACCUUCCUAAAGACACACCGUGCCGUGAAAUAAUAGCACGGUUCAAAAUAGACGGAAAUCAGAGGUCAGAUUCGAGAAGCAGGAAAAGAAGAGGAAUAGAGAGCGAAAGAGCGAUGUUACUAAUCGCAAGAGGGGAGUGACGUCUCCGUGGAGUUCCAGGGAAUCGGAGGAAAGCGCGGUGACGUACGAACCGGUGCGAAA